rnacentral:rRNA from 1 species
CAAACAACUUUUUGCAACAGAUAUCUCGGUUCUUGCAUUGAUGAAGAACGUAGCGAAAUGCGAUACUUGGUGUGAAUUGUAGAAUGUCGUGAGCCAUUGAGUCUUUGAACGCAAGUUGCACCUGUCAAGCUGAGGGCACGUCUGUCGGGGCAUCACAU